rnacentral:rRNA from 1 species
CCUACGGGUGGCAGCAGUGGGGGAUCUUGCACAAUGGGGGAAACCCUGAUGCAGCAACGCCGCGUGUGGGAAGAAGGUUUUCGGAUUGUAAACCACUGUUCUUGGUGAAGAUAAUGACGGUAACCAAGGAGAAAGCUCCGGCUAACUACGUGCCAGCAGCCGCGGUAAUACGUAGGGAGCAAGCGUUGUCCGGAUUUACUGGGUGUAAAGGGUGCGUAGGCGGUCUUGCCAAUCAGACGUGAAAACCGCAGGCUCAACCUGUUGACUGCGUUUGAAACUGUGGGGAUUGAGUGACGUAGAGGUAGGCGGAAUUUCCGGUGUAGCGGUGAAAUGCGUAGAGAUCUGGAGGAAAACCAGUGGCGAAGGCAGCCUACUGGGCUUUAUCUGACGCUGAGGCACGAAAGCAUGGGGAGAAAACAGGAUGAGAUACCCGAGUAGUC